CUUAGACUUUGAUCCUGGCUCAGGAUGAACGCUGGCGGUAUGCUUAACACAUGCAAGUCGAACGGUGUCUUCGGACAUAGUGGCGGACGGGUGAGUAACGCGUGAGAAUCUAGCUUCAGGUCUGGGACAACCACUGGAAACGGUGGCUAAUACCGGAUGUGCCGGAAGGUGAAAGGCUUGCUGCCUGAAGAUGAGCUCGCGUCCGAUUAGCUAGUAGGUGGGGUAAGAGCCUACCUAGGCGACGAUCGGUAGCUGGUCUGAGAGGAUGACCAGCCACACUGGGACUGAGACACGGCCCAGACUCCUACGGGAGGCAGCAGUGGGGAAUUUUCCGCAAUGGGCGAAAGCCUGACGGAGCAAUACCGCGUGAGGGAGGAAGGCUCUUGGGUUGUAAACCUCUUUUCUCAGGGAAGAACACAAUGACGGUACCUGAGGAAUCAGCAUCGGCUAACUCCGUGCCAGCAGCCGCGGUAAUACGGAGGAUGCAAGCGUUAUCCGGAAUGAUUGGGCGUAAAGCGUCCGCAGGUGGCUGUGUAAGUCUGCUGUCAAAGAGCAAAGCUCAACUUUGUAAAGGCAGUGGAAACUACACGGCUAGAGUGCGUUCGGGGCAGAGGGAAUUCCUGGUGUAGCGGUGAAAUGCGUAGAGAUCAGGAAGAACACCGGUGGCGAAGGCGCUCUGCUAGGCCGCAACUGACACUGAGGGACGAGAGCUAGGGGAGCGAAUGGGAUUAAAGACCCCAGUAGUCCUAGCUGUAAACGAUGGA
rnacentral:rRNA from 1 species